UCGGACGUGGUGCACGGUACACGCCCGCUAUCUCUGGCGGGAGAUGAUCAUUGACAUGGAUGUGAUUCGGGAGCUCUGGGUUCGAUUCCCAGCGUCCGAA